UAAUUUUCAGUCAUGUUAAACACAUACAUUGAAUUAAUUUAGAAUCUGUUUAAUGUAUGUAUGUAUACUUAAUUGGCCACUCCCCAUUGGGGCUUUUCAGGACCAAUGUAAACAAACAAUGAUAAACAAAUAUUCAAAUAAACAUAACUAGGUUAAGAAUCCCAACUGGUGGGAGGCAGACCGGUUGGCUAUUUAUAAGUGCAGCGGAGAAGUUGAACUCAGGGCUACUGAAAACAACAUCAGCGGUCAGAAAGGGAUUUAAACCCAGGACCUGUAGACAGAGUUCAAAUUCAGUGCUCUAACCACUUGGCCACGCUGCUUCCUCUAUAUAUAGAAAGAUUCAUUUGAUUUAAUUUAUUUUUAAGCAAUGUCUGCCAGAGUAUUUUUCUCCUUGGGAAGAAGUUGCAAGAGAUCUUCCUCAACUCGUGAAAGAAGCUGAUUGUUUACGUCAAAGGAUUAAAGAUCUUCCCUUGUUAGAUUACAAGAAACUGUCUUCUGAAGAUGAGUGGAAAAGAGCUCAUUUGGUUCUUUCCUGUCUUUCCCAUGGUUAUGUCUGGUGCAAAGGAGACACAGGAGUAGCAAAGAUUCUUCCAAAGUGUUUAGCAGUUCCCUGGGUGGCAGUGUCGAACCACUUAGAUAUCCCUCCAGUAAUAACACACUGCAGUUAUGCCCUUUACAACUGGCGAUACAUCGACCCCAACCGACCUCGUAAUAUGGACAACUUAGAAAUUUCUGUUAAAAUGACGGGAUCAUGGACUGAGGAUGGAUUUGUAAAAGUUCCACUUCAAGUGGAGUUAGAUUUUGGGAAAGGAUAUCAUGUAAGGCUUUGGCACUGUGUUUGUAAUAAAUAUCCGAAUUUUAACUGGAGCCUGGCAGAUGGCCAUAUAUCUCAUUACUUUGGCCUUUAUUUCUGUAUGUACAUUUAAGAAAGUUCUUCCAUUAAAUGAGGAAAAUUCAAAGCACUAACUCGGGGUUGUCAAAAGUAGCCAGCUUCGGUUGCCUUGAUAUGCUUUUUUUGUCAUUACUCUAACUUAUGGUGGCUCAAAACAGUCUCCAUUGCUCUUUCCAAGAGUUAGAUUUUGAUGGGUCAUCAUAACCACUUUUUAUCAAUUGAUGCUAUAAUCAUGGUGUCAAAACACUGCUCAAUCAUUGGUGAACACAUUGUUAUCAUUCUCGUGACACAAUAGGUUACCAUAGCAACAGU